rnacentral:rRNA from 1 species
UGGUGGAGUGAUUUGUCUGCUUAAUUGCGAUAACGAACGAGACCUUAACCUGCUAAAUAGCCUGAAUCGCUUUGGCGGUACGCUGGCUUCUUAGAGGGACUAUCGGCUCAAGCCGAUGGAAGUUUGAGGCAAUAACA